rnacentral:rRNA from 1 species
UACGUAGGGUGCAAACGUUGCUCGGAAUCACUGGGCGUAAAGCGCACGUAGGCGGAUUGUUAAGUCAGGGGUGAAAUCCUGGAGCUCAACUCCAGAACUGCCUUUGAUACUGGCGAUCUCGAGUCCGGGAGAGGUGAGUGGAACUGCGAGUGUAGAGGUGAAAUUCGUAGAUAUUCGCAAGAACACCAGUGGCGAAGGCGGCUCACUGGCCCGGUACUGACGCUGAGGUGCGAAAGCGUGGGGAGCAAACAGG